GUACACAAAAAUGCACAUGCUGUGAGCUCGAUGAGUAGGGCGGGACACGUGGUAUCCUGUCUGAAUAUGGGGGGACCAUCCUCCAAGGCUAAAUACUCCUGACUGACCGAUAGUGAACCAGUACCGUGAGGGAAAGGCGAAAAGAACCCCGGCGAGGGGAGUGAAAAAGAACCUGAAACCGUGUACGUACAAGCAGUGGGAGCACGCUUAGGCGUGUGACUGCGUACCUUUUGUAUAAUGGGUCAGCGACUUAUAUUCUGUAGCAAGGUUAACCGAAUAGGGGAGCCGAAGGGAAACCGAGUCUUAACUGGGCGUUAAGUUGCAGGGUAUAGACCCGAAACCCGGUGAUCUAGCCAUGGGCAGGUUGAAGGUUGGGUAACACUAACUGGAGGACCGAACCGACUAAUGUUGAAAAAUUAGCGGAUGACUUGUGGCUGGGGGUGAAAGGCCAAUCAAACCGGGAGAUAGCUGGUUCUCCCCGAAAGCUAUUUAGGUAGCGCCUCGUGAAUUCAUCUCCGGGGGUAGAGCACUGUUUCGGCAAGGGGGUCAUCCCGACUUACCAACCCGAUGCAAACUGCGAAUACCGGAGAAUGUUAUCACGGGAGACACACGGCGGGUGCUAACGUCCGUCGUGAAGAGGGAAACAACCCAGACCGCCAGCUAAGGUCCCAAAGUCAUGGUUAAGUGGGAAACGAUGUGGGAAGGCCCAGACAGCCAGGAUGUUGGCUUAGAAGCAGCCAUCAUUUAAAGAAAGCGUAAUAGCUCACUGGUCGAGUCGGCCUGCGCGGAAGAUGUAACGGGGCUAAACCAUGCACCGAAGCUGCGGCAGCGACGCUUAUGCGUUGUUGGGUAGGGGAGCGUUCUGUAAGCCUGUGAAGGUGUGCUGUGAGGCAUGCUGGAGGUAUCAGAAGUGCGAAUGCUGACAUAAGUAACGAUAAAGCGGGUGAAAAGCCCGCUCGCCGGAAGACCAAGGGUUCCUGUCCAACGUUAAUCGGGGCAGGGUGAGUCGACCCCUAAGGCGAGGCCGAAAGGCGUAGUCGAUGGGAAACAGGUUAAUAUUCCUGUACUUGGUGUUACUGCGAAGGGGGGACGGAGAAGGCUAUGUUGGCCGGGCGACGGUUGUCCCGGUUUAAGCGUGUAGGCUGGUUUUCCAGGCAAAUCCGGAAAAUCAAGGCUGAGGCGUGAUGACGAGGCACUACGGUGCUGAAGCAACAAAUGCCCUGCUUCCAGGAAAAGCCUCUAAGCAUCAGGUAACAUCAAAUCGUACCCCAAACCGACACAGGUGGUCAGGUAGAGAAUACCAAGGCGCUUGAGAGAACUCGGGUGAAGGAACUAGGCAAAAUGGUGCCGUAACUUCGGGAGAAGG
rnacentral:rRNA from 1 species